UACGUAGGGUGCAAGCGUUGUCCGGAAUUAUUGGGCGUAAAGAGCGUGUAGGCGGCCCGAUUAGUCCGCUGUGAAAGUCCAGGGCUCAACCCUGGAAUGCCGGUGGAUACUGUCGGGCUAGAGUCCGGAAGGGGCGAGUGGAAUUCCUGGUGUAGCGGUGAAAUGCGCAGAUAUCAGGAGGAACACCGGUGGCGAAGGCGGCCAUCUGGCUCGGUACUGACGCUCAGGCGCGAAAGCGUGGGGAGCAAACAGG
rnacentral:rRNA from 1 species